AGAAAGAAAAUGAAUAGUUGUAUGUAUGCUCACAUAAGCUAACAGUGUUAUGAAUGUAAUAAUAUAUUAAUAUGUAAGGAUGGAAGUCUUGUCAGUUGAUUCAAGUAUGGAUGGCAAACGGAGUAAGAGGAAGCAAUGAGGCAAGCAUGAACAUGAACGCUAAAGGCACGAAGAAGGAAGGAGGCGCAAGUCACUCGAAGGCAUAAGUAUCUCAAGAUCGCUGUAAAACUCCACUCUAGGCGAUUUGGAGAUUUGGAGCGAGCACGGGCCCAUGCUAUGUUAUACCAAAUGCUUCCGCUAGUUUUUGUUCAUCUUUAUGGUCCAUGACUUGUUAUUUUGUCCAACUUUGUUAGUAGUCGCAUUUUGCAAAAACUUGUUGUCUUUGUCUUGGGUAGUUUAAUGUCAAAAAAAAAAAGGGUCAUGGAUUGUUGUUAGUUUUAUGUGUUAAAAACAGGGAGGCAUGUCCGUUUUACGAACGGGUCAUGCCCAAUUUUCCUAAGGAUUUUAUUAUGUAUCAAAGUUUGGUA